UUCAAUGGACCAUAAUACCUUUCUUAGAGUUUAGGACACAGCAUGUCUAAGCUGGAAGAAACUUGUCAAAACUUGGAGGGACUUUAGAAUAUAGAAUAUCAGAGGUAAAAGGAACUUUAGAACAUUAGAAUGAUAGACAAGAAGGGCCCUUAGUCCAUAGAGCAGAGAAUCUCAAAGCUUUGGUACCUCUCAGAGCCUAGAAUGUCAGAGCUGAGAGAGUCCUUACAGAGUAUCAGAAGUGGGAGGGACUUUGGAACAGAAUGUCAACAGUAGAAGGGAAUUUAAAGCAGACUCAGAACUAAGAGUGGUCUUAGAACAUAGAACGUGGAAACCAAGAGACAAGGACACCAAACAGCAUCUAAUGAAAGUAUAACUGGAAAAAAGCCUGAAUCUGGAAUCAGAGGCCCUGGAUACAAAGACCAGUUGUGCUACUUAUUACGUGUCCUUGGGUCAAGUCACUUCCUAGCCUGGGCCUCAGUUUACCCAUUGUAAAGGCCCCAGAAACCUCCCCAUCCGGAAGCUCACUCAGUUCCUGGACUCUACACUUGGAAGUACCCUCUGCUCCUGCAGCCUCUCCUUCUGUUUGGCUGGUCCCUGCUGGAACCUCCAUUUAAGUAGGGUGCCCUGUCAGCCUCAUUUGUCUGGGCUGAUUGCCUAACCACCUUUCUCUACAAUGCCCCAGGAACUGGGAACCUUCAUCUCGGCUGCCUCUUCUUCCUCAGCUCUACCUUGCCAGCUUCCUUUUAGAAUGCUUGCAUCCUGAGGCAGAGGCAGGGGCUACUUUUCUUUCUAAUCAUAUUUGUAUGCCAGCAUAUUGUCUGGCACUUAGUAAGUAAAUGCUUUCUGAAUUCGCU
rnacentral:lncRNA from 1 species